AUAUCAAAUGAAACACCACCAAUGAGCUUAUUAUUCACCAACUCUUUAUCUCUGACCAAGAUAUCUGCUAUCCUGGUCUGGAGGCCAUCCUUUGUGAAAGCAAACACUUGGUUCCACUCAGGGUUGGAGGUCUUGCCAAGAAAUCUUGUUGUUUCCAUGCAGUUACCGAUCUUUAGCUCAACAAAAGGGUCACAAGUGCCAGUCGCAUUAUUCACAGGCAAAAUCUUGGCUCUCGCAAUCCUAACAUGCACGUACUGUCGUUCUUCCACUAGCGAGAGCUUAUGAUUAGCUGCUGUGAUAUUCCGUGUGCCAAUAUUAGGUGUUGUCUCCUUGAGGGAGUAGUCCUCUUUUG
rnacentral:misc_RNA from 1 species